AACGAACGCUGGCGGCAGGCCUAACACAUGCAAGUCGAGCGAGGACUUCGGUCCUAGCGGCGGACGAGUGAGUAACGCGUGGGAACGUGCCCUUUGCUUCGGAAUAGCCCUGGGAAACUGGGAGUAAUACCGGAUGAGCCCUUUGGGGGAAAGAUUUAUCGGCGAAGGAUCGGCCCGCGUUGGAUUAGGUAGUUGGUGGGGUAAUGGCCUACCAAGCCGACGAUCCAUAGCUGGUUUGAGAGGAUGAUCAGCCACACUGGGACUGAGACACGGCCCAGACUCCUACGGAAGGCAGCAGUGGGGAAUCUUAGACAAUGGGGGAAACCCUGAUCUAGCCAUGCCGCGUGAGCGAUGAAGGCCUUAGGGUUGUAAAGCUCUUUCAGCUGGGAAGAUAAUGACGGUACCAGCAGAAGAAGCCCCGGCUAACUCCGUG
rnacentral:rRNA from 1 species